ACAAUGAAGAGUUUGAUCCUGGCUCAGGAUGAACGCUAGCUACAGGCUUAACACAUGCAAGUCGAGGGGCAGCAUUUCAGUUUGCUUGCAAACUGGAGAUGGCGACCGGCGCACGGGUGAGUAACACGUAUCCAACCUGCCGAUAACUCGGGGAUAGCCUUUCGAAAGAAAGAUUAAUACCCGAUGGCAUAAUCAGACCGCAUGGUCUUGUUAUUAAAGAAUUUCGGUUAUCGAUGGGGAUGCGUUCCAUUAGGCAGUUGGUGAGGUAACGGCUCACCAAACCUUCGAUGGAUAGGGGUUCUGAGAGGAAGGUCCCCCACAUUGGAACUGAGACACGGUCCAAACUCCUACGGGAGGCAGCAGUGAGGAAUAUUGGUCAAUGGGCGCAGGCCUGAACCAGCCAAGUAGCGUGAAGGAUGACUGCCCUAUGGGUUGUAAACUUCUUUUAUAUGGGAAUAAAGUUUUCCACGUGUGGAAUUUUGUAUGUACCAUAUGAAUAAGGAUCGGCUAACUCCGUGCCAGCAGCCGCGGUAAUACGGAGGAUCCGAGCGUUAUCCGGAUUUAUUGGGUUUAAAGGGAGCGUAGGUGGACAGUUAAGUCAGUUGUGAAAGUUUGCGGCUCAACCGUAAAAUUGCAGUUGAUACUGGCUGUCUUGAGUACAGUAGAGGUGGGCGGAAUUCGUGGUGUAGCGGUGAAAUGCUUAGAUAUCACGAAGAACUCCGAUUGCGAAGGCAGCUCACUGGACUGCAACUGACACUGAUGCUCGAAAGUGUGGGUAUCAAACAGGAUUAGAUACCCUGGUAGUCCACACAGUAAACGAUGAAUACUCGCUGUUUGCGAUAUACAGUAAGCGGCCAAGCGAAAGCAUUAAGUAUUCCACCUGGGGAGUACGCCGGCAACGGUGAAACUCAAAGGAAUUGACGGGGGCCCGCACAAGCGGAGGAACAUGUGGUUUAAUUCGAUGAUACGCGAGGAACCUUACCCGGGCUUAAAUUGCAUUUGAAUAAUCUGGAAACAGGUUAGCCGCAAGGCAAAUGUGAAGGUGCUGCAUGGUUGUCGUCAGCUCGUGCCGUGAGGUGUCGGCUUAAGUGCCAUAACGAGCGCAACCCUUAUCUUUAGUUACUAACAGGUCAUGCUGAGGACUCUAGAGAGACUGCCGUCGUAAGAUGUGAGGAAGGUGGGGAUGACGUCAAAUCAGCACGGCCCUUACGUCCGGGGCUACACACGUGUUACAAUGGGGGGUACAGAAGGCAGCUACCUGGUGACAGGAUGCUAAUCCCAAAAGCCUCUCUCAGUUCGGAUCGAAGUCUGCAACCCGACUUCGUGAAGCUGGAUUCGCUAGUAAUCGCGCAUCAGCCAUGGCGCGGUGAAUACGUUCCCGGGCCUUGUACACACCGCCCGUCAAGCCAUGAAAGCCGGGGGUACCUGAAGUACGUAACCGCAAGGAGCGUCCUAGGGUAAAACUGGUAAUUGGGGCUAAGUCGUAACAAGGUAGCCGUACCGGAAGGUGCGGCUGGAACACCUCCUUU
rnacentral:rRNA from 1 species